AACGAACGCUGGCGGCAUGCCUAACACAUGCAAGUCGAACGAGACCUUCGGGUCUAGUGGCGCACGGGUGCGUAACGAGUGGGAACCUGCCCUUAGGUUCGGAAUAACUCCCCGAAAGGGGUGCUAAUACCGGAUAAUGUCUUCGGACCAAAGAUUUAUCGCCUUUGGAUGGGCCCGCGUUGGAUUAGCUAGUUGGUAGGGUAAAAGCCUACCAAGGCGACGAUCCAUAGCUGGUCUGAGAGGAUGAUCAGCCACACUGGGACUGAGACACGGCCCAGACUCCUACGGGAGGCAGCAGUGGGGAAUAUUGGACAAUGGGCGAAAGCCUGAUCCAGAAAUGCCGCGUGAGUGAUGAGGGCCUUAGGGUUGUAAAGCUCUUUUACCCGGGAUGAUAAUGACAGUACCGGGAGAAUAAGCUCCGGCUAACUCCGUG
rnacentral:rRNA from 1 species